rnacentral:lncRNA from 1 species
AAGAUCAGGCAGGUAGAGAUAAUUCUCCAAAUUUUAUAGAUGAAGAAAUAGAGGCCUAAAUGGAUUCAGUAACUUGCUUAAGGUCACACAGGACUAGAAAUUGGCUCUCCAGAUGCCAGUUUUCCAUUCCUACUCACCUCACACAAACCCCUUUAGCCAGCAGAAGUAGGGGCCAGACCCAAAUCUAAGGGUAUGACCUGAGAGCAUUCCUAGAAUCUCAGAGCUGGCAGGAAGCUUGGACAGCAUCUUGCCAAACCUCUUUUCUGCUUCAAGAUUCCCUUCUCCAUUCCCCCAACAGUAAUCACGCCCCCUCCCCACCACUCCUCAUCCCACCCUGAGCUGGGCGGCAACCCCCAUGCUGGGUGCUGAGAGCCGGGUGAACCAGCCCACAUCCAUUCCAGGUGGUGAUUACAAUGACUUUUUCCAGCCCCAUCUGCAUUGUCAAUCCUCUCGGUUCUGACGUCAAUAAUUGAUGGAGGAACUCGGUGGGAGAGCCGAGCAUCAGGUUGGCAGGGAGCAGCGUCAAAUCUGGGUAUAAAAUGAGCGACCUACCUCGUAAUCAGGCACUGCAGGGAGAGAGCCUAGAUAGUCCUGUUUCGAGUGCCUAAUAAUCAAGGAAUUAACAGGCCAGUACACCCUGGGGUUUAGGGCUUCAAGGGAUGGGUUGGAGGGGAGUUUUUUUUAACCCCUUUACCUACUCCUUAAAUACCCAUUUGGAUCUGGCACCAGUCCUUGGGAAUGUGCUGCUCAGAGACUGGGCAUGAGAAGCCUGACUGGAAGGCAGGGGGAAGGAGAGGAGCGUGAUAACAGUAUCUGUGAGAGACUCAACGGAGAUAAUGAAUGUGAUAUGAUUGCUUCCUCUCCAGCACCAACCUUCAUAAAGACUCCCUUCUUCCAGAGAAGACUCCCCGAGGAACCCUACAAAGAGCGCUGAUCCAGUCAUGGCAGCAUCUCCUUCUCCCGCAUAGACGCAGUCAACUCAAUUCAAUUCAAUAUUCAUUUACUGAGCACUUAUAAAGGCC